GUAGUGUGAGUGUGAAGGACUGGAUUCUUGUUGCUUUCUCCUGAUGCCCAUUCCAGGGUUUCCCCAGGCAACUAGGAAGACCAUCCAUGGUGAGGCCUGCAAUCUAGGCUUCUUGCUGAUCAGUCAGCAAUGGAAACCUGUUGGUCAGUGAGGAAACCAAGGCACAGAGCGGGUGAGUAACUUGGCCAAGUUACUUUUUAUGGGUUAAUAAGUGCAGGAGCCAGGAUACAAACCCCGACAGCCUUUUCCAGAAGCUGCGCUUUGAACUACUAGGCUACAGGGCUGUCUCCUAAAAGUCAAAGUAGAUCAGAUACUGUAGCUGAAUCCCGUUCCCCUUCUCCCUCCUGUAGUAGCUUACAACGCAUGACAGCUUCUUUGACUUGACGAAAGCCACCAUCAGGGCCCCUGCCAUCGACGUAGUACAUGAAUCGGAGCUCAGGUGGGUAGGCAGCUCUGCUGAGGCCCGACAGCAGGGGGAUGGUGCAGCCCUCG
ensembl:lncRNA novel transcript, antisense to TIRAP